ACGGGGUGCAGCAGGCGCGAAACCUUCACACUGUGCGAAAGCGCGAUGAGGGAAUCCCAAGUGUUUGCUCGUAAGAGUAAACUGUUUCUUUGUUUAAAACGCAGAGAGAGUAAGGGCUGGGUAAGACGGGUGCCAGCCGCCGCGGUAAUACCUGCAGCUCAAGUGGUGAUCAUUAUUAUUGGGCCUAAAACGUCCGUAGCCGGUUUAGUAAAUGCCUGGGUAAAUCGUGUAGCUUAACUAUACGACUUCCGGGUAGACUGCUAAACUUGAGACCGGGAGAGGCUAGAGGUACUCCUGGGGUAGAGGUGAAAUUCUGUAAUCCUAGGGGGACCACCAGUGGCGAAGGCGUCUAGCUAGAACGGGUCUGACGGUGAGGGACGAAGCCCUGGGGCGCAAACCGGAUUNGAUACCCGGGUAGUCCAGGGUGUAAACGCUGCUUGCUUGAUGUUAGUUGGGCUCCGAGCCCAACUAGUGUCGGAGAGAAGUUGUUAAGCAAGCUGCCUGGAAGUACGUCGCAAGGC
rnacentral:rRNA from 1 species